ensembl:lncRNA
CGUGAGGUUUGCAGAUUUCCAUGAGAAUGCCGUUCUGGAAGUUUAACGGACACAUUGCAAGUAAACUGGGGCUAGUUGUCACAAGAUCUCAGUACAUCUAUCAUUAAUCAGCAAAUCCUCUGUAAAAAAAACGGCAGAAAGUGAUCAAAGGCACACAGGGAGAGAGAGUAUUCAAACGUGGAGCGGCCCAGACAAUAAGAAGA